UACAGAGGGUGCGAGCGUUGUCCGGAAUCACUGGGCGUAAAGGGCGCGUAGGCGGCCUGGUAAGUAGGGGGUGAAAUCCUGCGGCUCAACCGCAGGGCUGCCUUCUAAACUGUCAGGCUGGAGCACGGUAGAGGCAGAUGGAAUUCCCGGUGUAGCGGUGGAAUGCGUAGAGAUCGGGAAGAACACCAGUGGCGAAGGCGGUCUGCUGGGCCGUUGCUGACGCUGAGGCGCGACAGCGUGGGGAGCAAACAGG
rnacentral:rRNA from 1 species